rnacentral:lncRNA from 1 species
GAGAGAGAGAGAGGUUAUUAAUGACAGAAAAAGGGUUAUGGAUUAAGCUUUCUUCUUUAAGGGGAAGGGCAUGACAGAGGACAGGCCAUGCUGCUUUCUUUCUUUAUGACCCAAAUACAAAGCUACAGGAAUCAUGCUGUUGAACUUGCUGCAGGGCACUGCCAAUCCCUUGCCAAAAGAACCAACUUGCCCUCUAGUCCUCUAUUUUGGUUGGUCCCAGUGUCAGUCUUGCACAAGGGAACUGUUGAUAUAAAUUUACUUUGCUACUUGAGUACACACUGAACUUUUGCAUAGCCUCCAUUGUCCCCACACAAUCUGUUCAUCCAACAGUAACAAGACUUUGAUGAUUGUCACUGCAAAUACAGAAGCAAAAAAACAAAAAAAAAUGCAAGUAACUUUGAUUUCAUUGUCCAAUUCCUUAAGAAAACCUAUAUGGUGAUGCUAAUGCAACAACAGAAUUCUAGAAUUUAUCUGUAGUCUCCCUCUCUCUCUCUCUCU